rnacentral:rRNA from 1 species
AGAGUUUGAUCCUGGCUCAGAACAAACACUGGCGGCGUACAUAACACAUGCAAGUCGAACGAGAAAUUCCGAUUCGUCGGGAGAGUAAAGUGGCGAACGGGUGAGUAAUGCGAGGGUAAUCUAUCCCUGAAUUAGGGAUAACUUUGCGAAAGCGAAGCUAAUACCUGAUAAGACUACAAUCUUUUAGGAGAUAGUAGGAAAAGAUGGCCUCUGUUUAAGCUAUCGUUUAAGGAUGAGCCCUCGUACUAUUAGCUAGUUGGUGAGAUAAUAGCUCACCAAGGCUACGAUGGUUAGCUGGUCUGAGAGGAUGAUCAGCCACACUGGAACUGAGACACGGUCCAGACUCCUACGGGAGGCAGCAGUGAGGAAUAUUGCGCAAUGGGGGAAACCCUGACGCAGUGACGCCGCGUGAGUGAUGAAGGCUUUCGAGUCGUAAAGCUCUGUGAGGUGGAAAGAAAUAUUCCAGUGAUAAUACCACUGGAAUUUGACGGUACCACCAGAGGAAGCACCGGCAAACUCCGUGCCAGCAGCCGCGGUAAUACGGAGGGUGCAAGUGUUGUUCGGAAUUACUGGGCGUAAAGAGCAUGUAGGCGGUUAGGCAAGUCAGAUGUGAAAUCCCUUGGCUUAACCAAGGAAGUGCAUUUGAAACUUUCUAACUAGAGUACAGGAGGGGAAAGUGGAAUUCCCAGUGUAGAGGUGAAAUUCAUAGAUAUUGGGAGGAACACCGGUGGCGAAGGCGGCUUUCUGGCCUGAUACUGACGCUGAGAUGCGAAAGCGUGGGGAGCAAACAGGAUUAGAUACCCUGGUAGUCCACGCCGUAAACGAUGGGCACUAGGUGUAGGAAGUGUUGACCCUUUUUGUGCCGAAGCUAACGCAUUAAGUGCCCCGCCUGGGGAGUACGGUCGCAAGGCUAAAACUCAAAGGAAUUGACGGGGGCCCGCACAAGCGGUGGAGCAUGUGGUUUAAUUCGACGCUACGCGAAAACCUUACCUGGGCUUGACAUGCUGGAAU